rnacentral:rRNA from 1 species
UACAGAGGGGGCAAGCGUUGUUCGGAAUUACUGGGCGUAAAGGGCGCGUAGGCGGCCUUCUAAGUCGAACGUGAAAUCCCCGGGCUCAACCCGGGAACUGCGUCCGAUACUGGAAGGCUUGAAUCCGGGAGAGGGAUGUGGAAUUCCAGGUGUAGCGGUGAAAUGCGUAGAUAUCUGGAAGGAACACCGGUGGCGAAGGCGACAUCCUGGACC